GACUUUUUAAAAAUGUGCGCAUUAAUACUACAUUAGUAAAAAGGCCGGGAGUGUCUUUGCAGCUGGACCAGGCGAACCGAGGUUCAGUUAAGUUGGUUAGUCGCGCUGUUGAGAUCGUCGCUAGAAUAAACAGUGAAAUCUCACACACAAGGUUCGGCCGUCCAACAUGACUGGGCGUGCACGUGCAACGAGCAGCGGCAGAGCACGCGGCCAGGAGACUGGUGCACCUGUUGCAGAGACAAUACUGCACAGCGAGACUAGGAAUAAAGAGGCAGUUAAGAUAACGUCUCAUCCUCAGAAGAAUUUUGAGAUUGCUCAGCUUGCAACAAAUUAGACGAAACUACUACAACCCUAAAGAGCCACUCAACAUCCCGCAGCACAAGCUAAAAAUCUGGCCAGGCUAUGUCGCCACAGUCCUGCACUAUGAGUCAUCAUGAUGUGCAUUGAUAUUAGCCACAAGGUGUUGCGCAGUGAUACUGUCCUCGAUUUCAUGACCAACCUAAGAGCUCAGUGUGGAGACCUCCGCUUCGCUGAAAUGUGUACCAAGGACCUUGUUGGGUGCAUUGUCCUCACAAAGUAAACGUGUACUUUGGGCUGUAAACUUUACUCCAAAAAUUUUACUUGUAAGUAAUCCCGUCCCGAUUUCCAACUACAACACAAGUCCUUUAUUGGACAGUAUCUUAUUCUUGCCCCUAUGUUCAACACAUUACUUGUCAAACUGCUGUUGCACAGGGUACAUUUAUAAUGUCAAAUAUUGUAAAUGUUUAUGAAAAUAUAAGAAUCAGUAUAAUACGUUCACACAUACAAGGAAUUUGUCUCCGGUUGCUGGUGUCUAGCUGUAAAGAAAGAAAACUUGAAAAGAACGAUAAAUAACAAUACACAUAUACAGGACUACACAGUAUACAUAAUCACAAUAACACAAUUUACACUAAUGUAUUUUAAGAGUUAAGUCUCAGGGGGGGACGUUUUAUGUUUAAGUUUGUGAGAUUUAUGGAAACCGGAAAGAAGCUGGUCUGGUGGUUCUGGUUGGCAGUAUCCUGAAACGCCUUCCAGAGAGAGGCGUGAGGAGAGGAGUCCCUGAUGAUGUUGCGUAUUAUUUGUAGUCCGUGAGAUGUAUAAGUUCUGGAGCCUCAUUUAUAAACGCUGCGUACGCACAAAAGAAAGCAUACGUCACAUAUAAGCAAAGUUUGGGAUUCAUAAAAAAAAAAAACCUGUCGAUAGUGUGCGCACCUUAACGGCAGCUCGGACCCUGUCGUACUCACAAAAUCAUGAGAAACGGGAAACUCCAACGUCAACAGGAGAAGGAUGAAAUUAAAGACAGCUCUGUGAAAUUGAUAGAAAUUGUGUGAAAUAAUCGAACACAUUGAACAUUUCACAACACAUUAUUUGAAGGAUGCAUUUGCAAAAAUGGAGGAAAAAAUUAUACUGACGUCCGCAGAGAGUGAGUGACGUACGCGCGCCUACAAAUACGGUUUUAUAUUAAUAAUAACAGGGUGAACGUGGGUCCUUAAAGUCUUGAAUACUUUUUAUAAAUAAAAAGUCUUUGUCUUAAAUUCA
ensembl:lncRNA